rnacentral:lncRNA from 1 species
GCCUAUGACAUGCUUCAUCUGUCUUCCGACUUGUUGCUGCACAGCAGCGUUUUUUUCCAAUUUAGGAGCCUGGGAGGACUAUUGUGGGGUGCAUUUGGCUACUGUCUGGGUUAUAAAACAAAUGAGAUGAGUCAUAGUAGAGAGGUCCAUCCACAUGGAUGAUGUCAGCAGCAUAAAUAUUUUAAUCUACAUGACAAUAAGAGGUUUAGGAAACAUCUCAUUCACCCACCUUGAUGACUUCACCACCCUGUGGAUGUUUGUAAUUGAAGCAAUUAACCCAGGGUGAUGGAUUAACCCUUAAAGAAGAUGGUGUGAUACGAGUUUGUUACACCCCAAAUUUUGACUGCAAGGCUUGAAAAAUUAGCAUACAGGGGUAUGACUGGCACACCUGGCAUUAUUGUGUGUGUGUGUGUGUGUGUGUGUGUGUGUGUGUGUGUGUGUGUGUGUGUGUGUUCAUCCAUGCAUGACUGGUGCGUCGGUGGCGCUAUGAAUGGGCAGAGAGGGGUGUGCUCUCACAGACAUCAUAGCAGCAGUGAGAUGAAGAGUGCCAUCCACUCCACUGCACGUAUGCACUGAAGAGGAGGAGGAGAAGGGAACGAAAAGGAAAAAGGAGGUGAGUGUCUGAAUUUCCCUCCGGCAUGUCACGAAUGUCAUUUUUUUUAGGGACGUAUUUACCUGCCCUUUUCUCUCUGUGUCACUCCCAUCAUUCAUUCCCUCCUCCCGUCUGUCAGUCACUGCGUCUCUGUCUUUGAUUAAACGUCAUAUGCUGUCUUAAGAUAAACCUCUUCAUGUCCUCAGUCACAGAAAACCUCACAUUUUCAUUAAGAUGGAGUGCAGAUGCUUUGUCCUUUCACUGUUUUUGUUUUUCCACUGCUCUCAGGACUGUAUUGGGAUAGAUAACAGUCUUUGUGUAUCUUGAAGUGUUUAUUCUCUGAACUCAAUUCUCUGCUAAUGGGGGCUCUUUGCCUUUGAGAGUCCCACAGAGAGGAACACAUAAGUGGUAUAAGACAAAACCCAUUUAUCAGAUCAAUGCACAUUUCAGCGCAUUACAACAAUCUGGUCAGCUGGUGGAAGGCAGAGUCUGAGCUCCAUGUGGUAGAAAUGAAAACGAUAGCAGAUUCAUUAGCAUGGACUCUGUUAUCAGGUGGGACACACAUGGUUGAGCUGUGAUUCAGGCUUGGUGGCAGCUGUUUCGGGCGGCUGCUGACUAAAUUCAUCCAGCUGGUUUGCAUGUGUGUCACACCUGAGCGUGGCAAAACAGACAGCCUAUCAUCAUCAAUUACAGGACAUUAUGUCCUUGCCACUGGGAGCUGUCUUAAUGCACUCUUUAUCCAGCUGCUGUCCACAUGUUCACCUCUGUGCUCCAGUCACCUCGGUGUGCCUGUUCCUACUAUAACAGCCUCUGCUAUUAGAAAUAUCCUGAUCAUGUGAUUUCAUGGGAUAGGUAUGUUCAAGAACACAAAUGUGGAGAGGGGAUAAUCCCAAAUCCUGCUUGUUGUAAUUACCUGGACUAAAACGAUCAGGAUCAGCUAACUUGUCCGUGAGAUGCUUAUCAUAGAAACUCAUGCCUGAUCAGAUCUUUUCUGCCAGGAUUGUUUAAAUAAAUUAAUAAAUGAACUUUGAACUCCAGUUGGAGACAGUAGCGGAAGUGUGAAGUUCAAGAGGACAGAAGCAGUGAUGAUGCAAAAUGUAACACUAUCAUCACUGGUCUCUGUCGUGACUCUCUGUGAAACUGCCGCAUACUGAAAUAAAGAUUAGGAAGUUCUCGUCACACUGUUCCUCUCAGCUGAAAAGUUAAUGAGAAUUGACCCAACACUUGGAGAUUUAAGCUAAGACUAUCUCACUCUCUGCUGGUGUCAUGGAUCUAAAUCUCCAAACCAGCCUCCUCUUACAUAACACAGAUGCACAGAUGAAUUAUUUAUUACAGGCUGUAAGGCUAAGUACUCUUGUUGGAGUUUCUACCUUAAAAUUUUUCCUCUUCUUUUUGCAGCAUCUCUGUCAAAGUGAUGUGACAAGGCAGAAAACAGGGAAAAAGGCUGCAAGGCUUAAUAUUCUAUCUGUCCAUCCAUGCAGAAAAAAAAAAAUCCUUGAGUAGCUUUUAAGGCAAAUGUCUUGACAUCGCUGACCGUGCAUAUUAAUCGACAUCCAUUCAUGUACGUAAAAGAGUUUGUUUGCGUGCCACAAAGAGGCGUAGUAAUUUUUAGACGUCUCACCUUGUUGAAUAAAAUAGUGCUCCCUAAAAGCAAAGAGUGUUUCCCUCAGGCUACUUUUUUGACUCUUCGUUUUUAGUUUUUAUGCUGCCUCCUUUUGCAAGGCCCAUGAAAGAGUGAUCCCUCAUCCAAGCAGGGGGGGAAAAAAAGAGACUGUGACAUGGUGAGAGAGUGAAGUACGUAAGCAAAUAAUUUUAAUUCAGGUCAUUUCUGGAGUGAGCUGGUCAGAGAGCACUCAGGACUCACUGAAUGCCAUUAAGGCAGAGAUUAUCCUGCUCUACCUCUCAAAGGACUGUACUGCACAUUUGAAGUAAGUGCAGUACCUCAGGGUUCACAACAUGUUCCACACCACUCAAUCAAUAAAACUGGUGCAGAUCAAUCACUUGUGUUAGCAAAUACUAGCUCACAGGUAGGCCUUCUUGAUAUUACAUGUAGUAUAUUUAAUCCAAAUGGGACUUUCAGGAGUGGCCUACACAGCAACAAAUGAAUCCCUGCUAUCAGCCCUGGCCUGACUGAUAGAGAACUCAGUGUGAGCUUCAGUCAGAUCAAACAUUCAUCCCUUUAAACUUGAAUUAUUCUUUCAUCAGAGCGUGUUCAUUUAUUGCUGGCCACAUUGUGAAAGACUUGUCAAGAUAAAAACAUGCUGCAGUGCCGGGUUAAGUGACCUAGUCAAAUCACAUACCCCAUGCUCAGAUGUUUAAAACGCUAAGUCAUGGCCCGCUAAUAGCCGAUGGAUUCUGGGUUUCCCUGUCCAUCCUUUGAUCAGCCAAACCCUGCUGAAAUGUAAUGUGAUGAAACAACUGUGAGGAGAAAUGUAAACCAGAGUGUUUCUGGCUUCUUUACCUUCAGAAUGUGGAUUUCUGUUUGUUUAUAAGCUAUUUAGACACAUGAUGUGUGGGAUUUCUGUGCGUCACUAAGGAUAUUAGUCAGCUUAAGGCAAGCUGAAUAAGUUCAAAUUUUACAUUCAUGUAUUAAAAGGUCUUUAAACUCCAUGUUCACUGUCAAACACACCCAAAUGUCUCUGUGAGGAGGCAUGGCAUUGGUCACUGUUAGAUCAGUUCACUUAGCACUGAAGCUAACUGACUCAUACUGAGCUACAAGACGGUUUGGAUUUGUCCUCCAGAAAUCUUAUUUAUUUUGCGAAAAAGCUCCAACAAUUUGUGUUUUUGAAUGACACAUGAGCCUGAUUUUCUUGUUCAGGUUCGUCAAAGGCUAUCAGAUCAGCCGCAUCACAUUGAUAAUACCAGGUGUAAAGUACAUCAGUCUGCUCAUCCGAAGGUCACCACUGAUCGCCCCUGAAGCCUCAGGUAGGUUGAUCUUGUGUUGAACAAAAGUGUUUUUUGAUAUGUUGGCAAAAUUUGUCAAAGAGCACAUCUUCAAAAUUCAAUUAUCUUACCCUUUAAAUAGAAUCAAAUCUGUCCUCCUCUUUUCAAGAGCUAGCUAAACGGGCCGCCAUUAACCAUUGAUGAAUUCACCCUGAGAUGUCGGCAGUAUUCUCCCCUGAUCUACAGCGAGCACUGAAACUGAUGAAGAAUAAAAACCCUUUCCUCUAGAUUGACCCCGACCCAGAGGUUUUUUGUCCUUCUGCCACCAGGGUUUCUGCCACCAACUAUGGAUCUGUCUGAGAUUGUUGAAUGGUCUCCAUUGUGGCCUUUCAAAAGUUCUUUUAUGUUUUCUGUGCCUCGUGACUCCAGCUGUGAGGGCCGAUAUCUGCGCUAUGGAAAAACUCCCAGACAUACACUAUCCAGUAGAUUUUUGUCUAAGUUUUAUCAAAAAUUGAAAACAAUUCAAGUUACAGCUUCAAAUAAAUGUCGAAAUAAAAUAUAUGCUGUAUACUUAUUCAUUAAAAAGUGAAUUUGCAGAUGAAGGUAGUCUGUUAUAAUAAAAUGCGGCUGUUGACUGAUUUUUGUAACUCGCAUGGCCGAAUGAUGUGUCCUUUUGUAGCACGAUGUGAUUAAUAUGCAGUGGCUAUGGUCAACUCAAUAGAAUUAAUAUAUCUAAAUUUCUAUUUGAACUGAAGCUGGAGGCAGGUUGAAUGGGCGCUUGCACCAUGUGCUGCAUUCUUGGAUUUGCAAAAGUUGGGGUGUGGAGCAGCCACAGAGUUUAUUGCUGUGGUGGAGUUUUCUCAAAAGAACCAUCAAAAUGACUCUGACUUUUUGCGUGUUCUGAACAGCUUGAAUUAUGAGCACAUUUGCUCUGCACCUGCAAGCUCUUGAACAAAAUUUUUCAUAUACAAACCUAAAGUAUCUUGGGGUUUGACAUGCCCUUUUAAUACUGUAUGGAGGUGAGAUGAUUUCAGAGAGGAGGGAAAAGCUAAAUAAUGUUUGUAAAGGAUAGACAGAGGGUAUAAUAAAGGCUUAUUUACGGCUUAAUAAAUAGCAUAAUAAAGACUUAACUAAUGUGUAUUUAAGGCCUAGGUUAAAAAAACGUUUUGUUAAUGUUCAAUUUAUGGUAUUAAAAGGCUUUGUUAAAGCUUCAUUGAGGGUUAAAUAAAGACAUCCUUUUUAUGAGGAAGUUAUUCCAAUGCAUCUGCAUUAAAUAGAUCUAUCUCUUUGAGUCCCCAAAGGGUACAUGCACACCAUCCCAUUUGCUCUAUUGCCAUACAGAAUAUUAACCCCCACAGGUCUGCAACAUUAUAGUUUAAUUUUUUUGUUUACAUCAUCUUUUGAGUCUCUGCAAUGUUCAAAUACCUGUUUUUGUCUGUGCAGCUGACAGCUAAUGCUCAGGUUUAAGUGUUUCUUUUACAAGAGCUGCACAAUCUGACCUCAAACAACUGUAUCUUUAUGGAAGCACUAUAAUUCACCAUCCACCAUCUAUUCAUUUUCCAUGUUGAGGUCUGUUAACCAUCCACUUACCCCCUUUCUGGUGCCUUGUGUAAAGUCUCUUGACCAAUCAGAGGCUGUUCUCCAUGUGCUUUGUUAGAAAUGUGCAUUAGAGCAGAUCUUAAACCAUAAGACCUGUGUUUAAUACCAUAAAAAUAAGUUUAGUAUUGUAAGUGUAGGUGUAAACCAUUGCCUGCUCUUAUGUGAGGACUGUACUAGGCAUGCAUAAUGUGAAAUAAGAGUUCAGUUUCAGCUUAAUGUGGUUUUAUUCCACAUCCAGGCGAUUUAUUUUGGUGUCUUGACCCUCAAUAGAAGAUUAAAAGCUUCCUCAAAAAUACAUACCUGUGUGGCAACUUCCUAAAAUACUGCUGAGGCUGUAGACAUUUGAGACUGCAACAAUCUCAGAAAAAUGUGGUAAAAAUCUUGGAGGGACUGGUUACAUUUUUUACUUUCACAUGACCAAAAAAACAAAAAUAUUUAGUGGGAUUAAAUAGUCGUUUUGAAGGUGGUAACUAUUUAUAUAAAUUCUGCAAGUAUAUUAAUAUCAAAAACUGUGAUUCAUGCUUUUUAAACUUCCACAAAUGAAUCACUUGUUUUUCUUGUAUCUUUGAAAGUCAAAUAAGAAGCAGCAAUGAGUGCUGAACCAAACAAUAAGGGUGAGCCGCUGUCAAAACGUCACAUCAGCCAGAUGUGAUCAAGUGGCAGCAGUUUUAAGUCCAUCAGCCAGUUUGCCAUCUAGUGCCGACUGUCAGUAAAUGCACAUGAGUGAGGUUUACUCUCAUCUUUUUUUUUUUUUUCUCAGAUCUCAUAUUCAAGUUCGUGACUUCUUCAAAAACCUUUUGCGUCUGGCCUUUUUCUACAUGGCCUUAAAUUUGACUGUCUCUUUUCUUCAUGUUGUGUCUAUUACAGCUUUCCAGAAGAUUUCGACCAUCCAAAACCCACGUUAGCUCUGACAACUGAGCAGUCAGCCAUGGAUCACAAGACAAAUGAGGUAUGAAAGUCUGCUGUUCAAAAUGUCACAGUCAUUUUCGCUCCAUGUCAUAUGUACUUCUCUCUCUCUGCUUCUUCAGUGCCCCACCACCACCUCCCCCCAGAAGCACAUAAAGAGCAGAUCCAAGUCCACAGAGGAGAUGCAACAGACAAAGAAGGUCUGACUCUACCACAUCUUCUCUUUUUUUCCUUUCCCCUCAUUUGUCAAGCAAGUUUACCAUCAUCUUUAUCUGAUCUAAUGUGCCUCCACCUUGUCUUGCCUUAAAGACUUUUGCCUCGCAAAAAUCACUGCCAGGAGUUCCAGAACUCGACAAAGUAAAGGUGAGCUGUUUAAGUGAGUUCUCUUUUUCAGAUAAAGAUUGUAACUGCACCAUUUUUCUAAAGUGAAUCAUUUCUAAUUAUCUUAAUACGUUAUGAAUUAUUUAAUACCUCAGUCUUGUACACUAAAUGGGAAAUCUCUUUUUUAAACACUUGCAUGAAGCAACACAUAUAUUUCAAACAUUAAAAUGCAGGUCAGAGGGCGACUGUAUUUCUCAAAAUGUGAGUUUUUGUUUUUCAGGAGUGUCCUGAUGGCUCUGACACCUCCUCGCCCUCCACAGAGGAGGCAAAGUGAUAAACAGAAGGACCAGAGAGAUUUGAUUGUUCCUCACUUUACAAGAUCAUCACAAACACAGAGAGCAUAAACAUGUGUGCACAAGGAAACCUACAAAGUGAUCAUAAGAGUGAUGAAACUUUUAAGAAAACAUUCGACAUAUAUUUGGUAUUGGUUGAAGGGAAAUGUGAAUCCACUGAUGUUCAUUGUCCUGUGAAAGGUGUCUACAUAUCAAACUAAAUGUACGUUCAAAAUAAAGUGAAUCUGUGUCCAUUCCCUUUUUAUUUACAUUAACAAUCUGCAAAUAUCACUGCUUUAAAACACAGCUUUGAGUUUGUAUUUGUUUAGUGCAAAUAUGGGGCAAGAAGCUUUGAGGAUCAUGUUGUAGUGAAUUGGUGAAGUCCUGCUGUGUUGGCGUAUAUUACCACAUGACCUUGACUUAAUCUAAACAAACCACAGACUAGUUUGUGGCACUGGUUAUUAAAGAGAGGAAAAACAGCUAUCAUGUAAUAAAUGGAUAAAAGCUGUUAAAAUGGCUUCAGGUCCUUUAUGUCAAAGUAGCAUUAAAAAAGUAACAUGAAAUAUCCAAACAGGUCAGGUACAGAACAAAAAAUAUUUUGACUUUAACAUAAAACAAUAUAACAAGUAAGAGCAUACAGUGGAUGAGGGAGGCAGCUCUUUUUCUUUGGUUUCAUUUGCAGUUUAGAGAAUUAUAUUUUUACUUUGUUUUUGGGUUACCCUAUAGUGCCUCCCAGUGGUCAGAGUCUGAAGCUGAAGAAAAAGCAGGGUUAAGGAUUUACGACAGGAUGCCAACUGUGGUCAAAUUACACAGCCAAGGUCCAAGGUCCAGAUUGUUUUGUUCAAACCAAAUCAAGAAUACUCAAACCUUCUCAGGAGACAAAACAUGAUGCCCUACAUAGUCUUACAACCAAAUCUUUGUUUGUUUGAAUAUGACCUUCCUCUCCUGUGUCUUAAAGAAAGUGGAUUUAUACCAUCUAUGUAUUACUCAAACAGCCUGCACAUUUUCUUUGAUUGGUUAAAGAAGUUUUAUCUCAUUAUAUUACUAUAUUUAGUAAUAUAUGCAGCUUUAGCAGUCUGUUAAAAAAAUGAGAGAGCUAACUUGUUUGUUUUUGUGGUACUUGUGAUCUAAAAAUGUCUCUUCCAGUUUGAAAUGCUUCUACACAAUGUGUAUGAAAUGUGUCUGAAGUGACAGGGUUCCUCCCUGAAGCAGUGAAAUAAUCAGAUCAGGCACCAUGCAAAUAACCAGAUAUGUAAAUACGAGAAAGACUUACCAUGUGUCUAGUCAUAUUUAAUUGACCUGCCUGUGCUCUGCAAGCAGGUGCAGACUGAAAGCUCACAAAAACACAUGAAGGUUUGGCUGAGAGCAGGCUCAUCAGAAUAACUCGGCCCCCUGCGGAGCAGAGGAGGCUUAGGACUACCUACAGCUCAGUUUGAUUGGCAGUUGGUUUGAGUGGCAGGACUGUGCCUGAUGGCCUGGUGACCUCUGUUUAGUUUAUCCCCUGAGCUCAGCAGUCUCUUUUUGACUCCCACAUCUGGAGAGGGGAUUAACAGCAUCAGGAGAGCUCUGGAACCACGCCAAAGAUCUGGUGAUGCGUGUGUGUAUGAGUGAUUACAUGUGUGCCUCCAUAUGCGCUUGUUUCCCUUUUUAUGCUGUGAAAUGCUGCAGCGAAUCUCAAGGAUUUCUCCCACCGUAGCCAUUUACAGCAGCACCUUAGGGUCCAGCCACUGCGGGAACAUCAAGAGGGCUUUUAUCCCUCUUCGAUUCCCUGCUUUCAUGACACUUUGAAAAGAAACACCUCAAAACAAGGUUUUUAAAUUCGACUCCUCCUGAUGUAAGUUUGAGGUCAGCAGGUUCGGUGGAUUUGGUUGAGAGCACUGCUGAUGUGACACAACUGCAGCAGGACUAAUUAUUAACGAUCACCCUGAUUCUCAAGUCAUCAUGGUGUUCUCACGGUCUGAAAGCCAGGGUAGUGGGGUGUGAAGCAAAUAUGUGUCCUUAUGUGUAAAGAGGAUCUCAUAUUCAAGGGUGACAUGCUUUUUUGGAGCACUGGCAAUGUACAGAGGUACCUGAACAUCCUGUAGAAGUCAAGAAGAUUAUAUUUACAUGUUUGAAAUACUUCUGACUUAUAUCAUGGAUGAAAUGAUCAUUAAGUUCCUGGAUUUUAAUCUUUCCCUGCCGUAGGACGACAUAAAAACAGCUGUUUGAGGAGGUUGUGAGCAGGCUUCAGGGAGGGCAAUAUCUCCUCCAACAAUAACCACAAGGUGUCAUAUUUCUUCUGCUAUUACAUGAGAAACUUUAGAAAACUCAAACAACAAGAGUCAUAAAUCAAACUGAACAAUUCUCUUCAUCUGAUAAUGUUUGUCUGGAGAAAAAAGCUGGUCGAGCAAAUAUAAUCCAUCACUGAGGACACAACGUGAUCUCAAAGCACGCCCUUUGUUUGGUGCAGAGUUUUUGUUGUUGAUUAACAAUAAGGUCGCUGAUGAUGGAGCAAGUUAAUAAACUCGAGGUGUUUUUCU